GUGGGUAUAGCUCAGCAGUAGAGCACAUGCUUGGCAUGUACAGGUCCUGGGUUCAAUCCCCAGUACCUCCG
rnacentral:tRNA from 1 species